AAAGAGAAAAGAAAGAAAAUCGGAGCCUGCGUAAAUCCUAUCACUCUAGAGGCGGGAAUACUUUUUCAACAAGUAUAUAUUAACACUUGUGUAAGUAUGACCAGCACAUAUCAUAACUCGUAGUCCAUUACUGUUUGGAAGUGAAGUGCAAAAUAUUUAACUAAGUAAACUAUCGAUUUUCUAUUUAAUUUAAUUUUUUCUAGAAUCAUAUUUCACAUAAACUCGUUUACAAAGUCGUAAUAAAAAAGAAAUGAAAAAAGAAAAAAAAUCCGCCACCUGCAAAGUAUUUGUUUCGUAAGCGAUUUAAGUCAGUCAACGGUUGACCACGUGCCCAUUUCCGAGACAUAUGUUUGGUGGAAAUUUUCAUGGUUCAUGUUCACCCAUUUUGUUCCUCCAAGCUCCGUCGUACCCUCAACAUAGUACUUAUGAGUACUAUUCCAAAGUACCAAAUUGGACAUCGAGGUGAGUCGGCUUUAUCGUAGAAUGGACCGUUUUACUCGUAGCAUGCUAAUUGACCCAUACCAUUUCAUCUUGACGUUGUAGAAUGUAAGGAACGAUAAAGCAGAUACUCAUA